CGACGACUUCGCAAACGAUGACUUCUUCCCCGACCUCGGCAACCUCAUCCUCGACGACAUGGGCGACAACGUCAACGCCGGCGGUGCUGCUCCCGCUGCACCGUUUACUUCAUCGCUUGAGAGUUUGUACUUUGUGGUCGGUGGUGGAAAGGUGGAGCAAGAGGUCUCUCUCAAGCUGUGGGAGAACGAGUCUGCAGAGACGACGUUGAAUUUUAUCAAGGCGGCUUCAUUUUGUUUUGAACUAUGCAAGAGAGACAAGGUUGCUUCAUUUGCAAGCUCAAAACUCUUUAUGAUUGUAUUCUGCUUCUCUACCCAGUUCACUGAAAAUAUGAACCAAUGCAAUUGGUUGUUGGUGUUUGAUCCCAUUAGUAGUAUGAUCAAAUUUAUUUCGAGACAUGCAGUCCCCAAAUGCUCCACUCCCCACAAUCUGACGAAUGGGAGAGGGAAGCUGAGGCUAUGGUCGUGCCGUUGUAGACAAACAGUUUAACACUGAGGUAAUGUGAUAAAAAUAAUCGUUUUUUCUCUCCCGUACGUAUGGGUUUAUGUAUGUCUGCUACGUACAAUUCAUGUACUCCCUCUGUCCCAAAAUAAGUGACUCAACUUUAUACUAGCUUUACUAUAAAGUUAGUACAAAAUUCAGUCAUUUAUUUUGGGACGGAGGGAGUACUGUUCUGUCCUUGCACUGCUUUCUUCUACUCCCUCCGUAAACUAAUAUAAGAGCAUUUAGAUCACUAAUUUAGUAAUCUAAACGCUCUUAUAUUAGUAUACAGACGGAGUAAUAUUUUUGUUGUAUAUUACUACGUUCAGUUGGUGUGAAAUCCCCUAAUUUUUGGUUAAUCUAGGAAGUAAAAAUAAGUUCAGUUUGUAGACUGUUUAAACCACUUUUAACUGAACUUGUACAAGCAUCAAAUCUAGGAUAUUUCAAGUCUCUUCACAAAAAAUAUAUUACAUAGCAAUAAUUUCAUCUUAUUGUUGUACCAAUCCGAUUAUGAGGUGUAUUCGUGGUGCUUUGAAGUGUAAAAAUUGCAGUACUUUUCCUUCCUCUUUUUUUGUAUUAUUUUAGCUCAAGCUUACACUUGCUGACUGGACACUAAAUAACAUUCUUCUGUUUUUUUGUUGCAACGAGAGAAUAAUAAUGAGAUGCGCUGCUACAUGGAGAACUUGGACCAAUUGAUAAGACACCAAAUCUUGGGCACUAAAUUAUGUGUAUGUAGUUGAUCUGCAUCUGAAAUCUCUUUAUAAUAGUUGCGUAUAUUAUAGUUAAUUUCACCGAUAUCUGUGUAUCUUUUGUUUGGUUAUUUGGCCUGAACCUACAGUUCAAGGUUAGUAAUUAUUUGGUCCGAGCCUACUAUUCCUUUCCAUGUCUUGUAUAAUUCUCUUUUUAGACAUGAAGAGUUCCCGGAGGUUGGAUGGCAAUUUGAAAAUUCCAGUGUAUGCUUCAAAGAUGUAUGCAUAUAAUUUUGGAGUCUAUUCAUGUUGGUUCAGCAUGUUUCUACUACACUCCACAUCACACAGUAUUUAGAGCAGAGGGCCUUCGAUAGUGAAUACUGCAUAAAAUGGUGUUGUUCCGUGGGAUGCAGAAUUUGUUGUUUCAUUCAUCCGCUAUCCUUGGUGUUGUUUUACAUAGCUUAUACUCAUUUGCUUUGUUUCAGCGGCAGGGUAUACAACAUAGGAAAACUUGACUAAGCUGUUCUGAAAUUCUGGUUCCAUUGGGUGAUUUCUGUUUUCUUAAUAAAUUGGUGGGAGUGUGAGAUAACUAUUAAGCCAAUUAGUUGCUGUGUACAUUUAACAAGCGGGCAGUUGGGAGGUGAUAAUUAUUUUUGUGUACACAUAGUUUAGUCAGGGCAUGCCCAUGAACUGUUGCUUGCAUAUUGUAUCAUGUGAACGUAAGUGAAUAAAUCUUCCUUGGCUGAAAUGUCAUACCCGGUUUUGUGAA